UACGUAGGCAGCAAGCGUUGUUCGGAAUUACUGGGCGUAAAGAGUGUGUAGGCGGUGCUCUAAGUUCGGUGUGAAAUCUCCCGGCUCAACUGGGAGGGUGCGCCGGAAACUGGAGUGCUGGAGCGCGGGAGAGGAAAGCGGAAUUCCUGGUGUAGCGGUGAAAUGCGUAGAUAUCUGGAGGAAUACCGGUGGCGAAGGCGGCAUCCUGGACCGAGAUUGACACUGAGGAGCGAAAGCCAGGGGAGCAAACGGG
rnacentral:rRNA from 1 species